UAUUUCAAGUAAGUCAUAGUACUCAGGUUCACCCACUGGAUCAAUGGCCGGAAUCUGUCCUUCUACAAAGUGUGUCUUCCGUCCCAUGCCACAUCCUCAUGUCUUUCCAGAACAGGGAUCAGCAGGAGCCACUCCAGCUUCAUGGUUCCUCUUGUGGGUCACCUUGCAUUGACCAUCAGAGGAGUGUGAAAGGGGUAGCCACUUACCCUGAAGGAUGAAGGAAUGUCAGCUAUUCGCCAAUGAAGAAAGAAGGGGAUUCAUAGAAUCAAAAAGCUUUAGGGCAGCAUUCAAAGGCUGAUAUAGCAGGAUGCUGACCAACAUGAUGUGUGUCCCGAUAGAGUGACUGGGAAUUAUUUAGUAGUGAUCUACCAGGAAAGACUGCUUAAAUAAAAUACAUUGUGAACAACACAACAGAAGACAUCUUGUAGCUCCUCAAAUGAUAAUUCCUAUUUAUAUUUAUUGCUAUGAAAUACAUGUCUGUGAUAUAUUUUCAAAUAAAGCAGGAAGCUACAGAACCAUGUAGCAUUGUUUAUA